AUUGAACGCUGGCGGCAGGCUUAACACAUGCAAGUCGAGCGGGGGAAGGUAGCUUGCUACCGGACCUAGCGGCGGACGGGUGAGUAACGCUUAGGAAUCUGCCUAUUAGUGGGGGACAACAUCUCGAAAGGGAUGCUAAUACCGCAUACGUCCUACGGGAGAAAGCAGGGGAUCUUCGGACCUUGCGCUAAUAGAUGAGCCUAAGUCGGAUUAGCUAGUUGGUGGGGUAAAGGCCUACCAAGGCGACGAUCUGUAGCGGGUCUGAGAGGAUGAUCCGCCACACUGGGACUGAGACACGGCCCAGACUCCUACGGGAGGCAGCAGUGGGGAAUAUUGGACAAUGGGGGGAACCCUGAUCUAGCCAUGCCGCGUGUGUGAAGAAGGCCUUAUGGUUGUAAAGCACUUUAAGCGAGGAGGAGGCUACUCUAGUUAAUACCUAGGGAUAGUGGACGUUACUCGCAGAAUAAGCACCGGCUAACUCUGUGCCAGCCGCCGCCGUAA
rnacentral:rRNA from 1 species